GGUGUAUAAAUACGCUGUAGUGUUUCUCUCAUCAAUCAUCAGCGCGCAUAACUAAGGUCACCCACUAGUCGGAAUCACGUCUAGUGAUCUAUACGACUAGCAUGUUGGAACCCUCACAUGGUCUGUACGACAUCCACCUACUUGGAUCCAAGAUGAGCGUGUGGUGUGGUGAAUAAUAAUAUAAGCACUAACACCUAGGGUGCAGGUUAUGAGCUUUCAAUGCAGUACUCAUAAAAUAACUCAUCUGAAUAAUAUAAAAACUCACCUGUGCGUCCAACGCGUCAAUUAACAUAUAUACGCAUCCAUUAUCAAACUAAAUAUCUCAACAUUUGCAUGCAUGGCAAUUUAAAUCAUAAUUUUCAUAUAAACGCAUUUUCUGGGAAAAACAGUUGUAUAUAGGUAAUACGAAAACAAAACUGCCCACUCACUGAUAAGUCGAUGGGUUGUAACCCCCGUGAUGUCCCUGGAUGCGCUCGUCCUCGGGAUAAGUGUCACCUAUAUGCGAAACAACUAUAAAAACGUUAAUUUAAACACAUAACCAACAAUUCGAAAUAACUUCUCAAACGAUGCUCAAAUUGGGUAUAUGAAUAUACCACAUUGACCUUCUCGACGUCACGGACGUCGAGAAAUUUUUAGAUUAAUUUUUUGGUGUCGCAUGUGCCCCCACGCGCCAGGGAACGAACGGACACAUGCGCCCCCACGCGC
rnacentral:lncRNA from 1 species